GGGCCCAUAGCUCAGGGGUUAGAGCAGUCGGCUCAUAACCGAAAGGUCCCAGGUUCGAUCCCUGGUGGGCCCACCA
rnacentral:tRNA from 1 species